rnacentral:lncRNA from 1 species
UAUCACACCAAAUGGUCUCUUUCCCUAGGCUUUUCUUGAAACAUCCUUAACCCUUUGGGUCCACUCAUCUUUGAUCCCUUUUGUAAACCUCCAGGCCUUUGAGGAUAGGCUGAGGUAUAUUCAUUAACUCCUUCCCUUGUUUCUACUAAUUUCAUUUCAACACUCAAGUCCAUUUCAAGCUACGCCUGUUCCAGGAAGCCGCCUCGUCAUCCAGCUCCGCCCUGAGCCAUUCGUGGGAAGCAGAGACGCUACAAAUACUGAGUAGGGAAAAUGAAUUCCUUCAGAGCUGUCUUCCUAUCUUAUUAUUGGAAUUUUACUGCAGUAUCCAUUUCUUGGAGAAAUUUAGGGACUGCAGCCUUCCACUGGGACACCCAGCCUUUGCUCGAGCCCCUGCCUCGCCCGGAUUGGACUGCAGAGGGAGCGGUCAGUCGUCAGUCCCCCUUCACUCUGCAAAGCAGGAGGCUGCAAAUUGUGGCGCCACCCUUCCUUCCGGUUUCCAAAGCGCUUCCUCAAAUGCGGAACGUUUAAGGAGAUGGAAAGAGAGGAGAAGUUGGAAGAGACUAAUUGGACACUCCAGCGAGAAAAGCACCACAGCCACUUGGUGUCGGUGUGGGGAACAGGGCAGCAGCGUGGGGGAGACAGCAGUGUCUGCAAAGGGGCAGUGGUCCCAGGCGGUGGGCUGGUCCGCGCUCAGGAUGCCUACUUUAGUUUCACAACUGCCUCUUACCUCCUGACAUUAUUGUGGGAAAGGUGCUAAAUCUACCUGAACCCCAGUUUUCUCAUCUGUAAGACAGCAAUAAUAAUAUCUGCUGGGCCAAUUUCACACGAUUGUUGCAAGGAUCAAAUACUACGAUAACGGGGGUGAAAGUGCUCUGAAGGGUUAAAGCCUGUGUGUGUGGGGGGGGGGGCACCACCGAUAUCAACAUGGAGGGAAGGGCAUGCAGGGAGGUGACAAAGGUAAUAUCCGACAAAGAGCAAGUGCUUACCCGUGCCAGACAAUGUUUAAGAGCCUGACAUGUACGAAAGCACCUAAAGUAAUGAGAGGGAAGACUCAUAGACCAUCUGCUUUGCCGAGUCACCCCAGAUGAAAGCACUGAUGUACCAUUUUCUUUUUUUUAAAGAUUUUAUUUUUUUCCCAAAACCCCCUGGCACAUAGUUGUGUAUUUUUUUUUUUAGUUGUGGGUUCUUCUAGUUGUGGCAUGUGGGAUGCCCCCUCAGCACGGCUUGAUGAGCAGUGCCAUGUCCACAGCCAGGAUUCGAACUGGCGAAACCCUGGGCCACUGAAGCAGAGCGCGCAAACCUAACCACUCGGCCACGGGGCCAGCCCAUGACGUACCAUUUUUAAUAAAAGAAUAAAACAACCAUCUUUGAGAUGAAUAAACUCAGUCCUGUCGUUAACUGCAUGGAUCUGUUACUUAAUAUUUCCAAGUCUCAUUUUUCUUUCAGUAAAAUGGAAAUUACAGUACCCACUGUAAUGCACAGAGUAUAUAAGAUAAUUGAAUUCCUUCCUCA